AUUGAACGCUGGCGGCAGGCCUAACACAUGCAAGUCGAGCGAGCGGCGGACGGGUGAGUAAUGUAUGGGGACUGCCCGAUAGAGGGGGAUAACUACUGGAAACGGUAGCUAAUACCGCAUACUAUCCGAUAACCCAUAUGGGGUUAGCUAGUAGUUGAGGUAAUUGCUAACAUAGGCCACGAUCCCUAGCUGGUCUGAGAGGAUGAUCAGCCACACUGGGACGUAGACACGGCCCAGACUCCUACGGAGGCAGCAGUGGGGAGUAUUGCAGAAUGGGCGAAAGCCUGAUGAAGACAUGCCGCGUGUAUGAAGAAGGUCUUAGGGUUGUAAAGUACUUUCAGUCGGGAGGCGUUACCGACAGAGGAAGCACCGGCUAACUCCGUGCCAGCAGCCGCGGUAAUAC
rnacentral:rRNA from 1 species